CCGGUUUUACAGAGCCCAUAGUUUCAGAUAGUCCCUUUUUAAAUGCAGAGAUUAACCCACUAUUAGUCCAGUCUACCUCGGAAGCUAGGGUACGAAAUUCUAUGGCAUACUUCGAGAUAGACCAGUUCCCUUGUCUGAUAUGCAUCAGGGCAGUAGAGGCGUCUUCCUCCCUGCCUAAUGGUUCAAACGUAAGUUUAAAUUCU